rnacentral:rRNA from 1 species
UUGAACGCUGGCGGCAUGCUUUACACAUGCAAGUCGAACGGCAGCGGGGGCUUCGGCCUGCCGGCGAGUGGCGAACGGGUUAGUAAUGCAUCGGAACGUACCCAGUCGUGGGGGAUAACUACGCGAAAGCGUAGCUAAUACCGCAUACGCCCUGAGGGGGAAAGUGGGGGCUCGCAAGACCUCACGUUAUUCGAGCGGCCGACGUCUGAUUAGCUAUUUGGUGGGGUAAAGGCUCACCAAGGCGACGAUCAGUAGCGGGUCUGAGAGGAUGAUCCGUCACACUGGAACUGAGACACGGUCCAGACUCCUACGGGAGGCAGCAGUGGGGAAUUUUGGACAAUGGGGGCAACCCUGAUCCAGCCAUUCCGCGUGAGUGAAGAAGGCCUUCGGGUUGUAAAGCUCUUUCAGCCGGAACGAAACGGUACGCUCGAACAUAGCGUGCUAAUGACGGUACCGGCAGAAGAAGCACCGGCUAACUACGU